rnacentral:rRNA from 1 species
AGGCCUACGGGGGGCUGCAGUGGGGAAUUUUGGACAAUGGGCGCAAGCCUGAUCCAGCAAUGCCGCGUGCAGGAAGAAGGCCUUCGGGUUGUAAACUGCUUUUGUACGGAACGAAACGGUCUGGGUUAAUACCCUGGGCUAAUGACGGUACCGUAAGAAUAAGCACCGGCUAACUACGUGCCAGCAGCCGCGGUAAUACGUAGGGUGCAAGCGUUAAUCGGAAUUACUGGGCGUAAAGCGUGCGCAGGCGGUUGUGUAAGACAGGCGUGAAAUCCCCGGGCUCAACCUGGGAAUGGCGCUUGUGACUGCACAACUGGAGUGCGGCAGAGGGGGAUGGAAUUCCGCGUGUAGCAGUGAAAUGCGUAGAUAUGCGGAGGAACACCGAUGGCGAAGGCAAUCCCCUGGGCCUGCACUGACGCUCAUGCACGAAAGCGUGGGGAGCAAACAGGAUUAGAUACCCGAGUAGUCUU